GAUCCAGACUCCUACGGGAGGCAGCAGUAGGGAAUAUUGCACAAUGGGGGAAACCCUGAUGCAGCGACGCCGCGUGAGCGAUGAAGUAUUUCGGUAUGUAAAGCUCUAUCAGCAGGGAAGAAAAUGACGGUACCUGACUAAGAAGCCCCGGCUAACUACGUGCCAGCAGCCGCGGUAAUACGUAGGGGGCAAGCGUUAUCCGGAUUUACUGGGUGUAAAGGGAGCGUAGACGGUCCUGCAAGCCAGAUGUGAAAGCCCGGGGCUCAACCCCGGGACUGCAUUUGGAACUGUAAAACUGGAGUGCAGGAGAGGUAAGCGGAAUUCCUAGUGUAGCGGUGAAAUGCGUAGAUAUUAGGAGGAACACCAGUGGCGAAGGCGGCUUACUGGACUGUAACUGACGUUGAGGCUCGAAGGCGUGGGGAGCAAACAGGAUUAGAUACCCCGGUA
rnacentral:rRNA from 1 species